AGGACGAACGCUGGCGGCGUGCUUAACACAUGCAAGUCGAACGGGAUCCGCAAGGAUUCAGUGGCGAACGGGUGCGUAACACGUGAAGAAUUUGUCCAACGGCGGGGGAUAGCCGGCCCAACGGCCGGGUAAUACCGCGUACGACCUUUGAGGGGCAUCCCUCGAUGGUGAAAGCCGCAAGGCGCCGAUGGAGUACUUCGCGGCCUAUCAGCUAGUUGGUGAGGUCAUGGCUCACCAAGGCGACGACGGGUAGCUGGUCCGAGAGGAUGACCAGCCACAUUGGGACUGAGACACGGCCCAGACUCCUACGGGAGGCAGCGGUGGGGAAUAUGCGCAAUGGGCGAAAGCCUGACGCAGCGACGCCGCGUGUGGGAUGACGGCAGUUCGGGUGUAAACCACUGUCGCGAGGACGAAGAUCUGACGGUACCUCGAAAGGAAGCACCGGCUAACUCUAGUGCCAGCAGCCGAC
rnacentral:rRNA from 1 species